ACAUGCUUACAACGUAGCAUUAAUGCAUCGAAUCCCAUUAAAACUCUCCAGUUAAUCAUGUUCGAGCUAGAGUAGUACUGGGAUGGGUGACCGCCUAGGAAGUCCUAGUAUUUUACAUGCC
rnacentral:rRNA from 1 species